CCUACGGGCGGCUGCAGUGAGGAAUAUUGGUCAAUGGGCGAGAGCCUGAACCAGCCAAGUCGCGUGAAGGAUGACGGCCCUACGGGUUGUAAACUUCUUUUGUCAGGGAGCAAUUGGGUCCACGCGUGGGCUUAGCGAGAGUACCUGAAGAAAAAGCAUCGGCUAACUCCGUGCCAGCAGCCGCGGUAAUACGGAGGAUGCGAGCGUUAUCCGGAUUUAUUGGGUUUAAAGGGUGCGUAGGCGGAAUAUCAAGUCAGCGGUAAAAAUUCGGGGCUCAACCCCGUCGUGCCGUUGAAACUGGUGGUCUUGAGUGGGCGAGAAGUAUGCGGAAUGCGGGGUGUAGCGGUGAAAUGCAUAGAUAUCACGCAGAACUCCGAUUGCGAAGGCAGCAUACCGGCGCCCAACUGACGCUGAAGCACGAAAGCGUGGGUAUCGAACAGGAUUAGAUACCCGAGUAGUC
rnacentral:rRNA from 1 species